rnacentral:rRNA from 1 species
UACUACUGACUGACCGAUAGUGAACCAGUACCGUGAGGGAAAGGCGAAAAGAACCCCUGUGAGGGGAGUGAAAUAGAACCUGAAACCGUGUACGUACAAGCAGUAGGAGCAGGCUUGUCCUGUGACUGCGUACCUUUUGUAUAAUGGGUCAGCGACUUAUAUUCAGUGGCAAGGUUAACCAUCUAGGGGAGCCGUAGGGAAACCGAGUCUUAACUGGGCGUUCAGUCUCUGGAUAUAGACCCGAAACCAGGUGAUCUAGCCAUGGGCAGGUUGAAGGUUGAGUAACAUCAACUGGAGGACCGAACCGACUAAUGUUGAAAAAUUAGCGGAUGACUUGUGGCUAGGGGUGAAAGGCCAAUCAAACCUGGAGAUAGCUGGUUCUCCCCGAAAGCUAUUUAGGUAGCGCCUCGGACGAAUACUACUGGGGGUAGAGCACUGUUAAGGCUAGGGGG